GACGAACGCUGGCGGCGUGCUUAACACAUGCAAGUCGAACGGAAAGGCCCUGCUUUUGUGGGGUGCUCGAGUGGCGAACGGGUGAGUAACACGUGAGUAACCUGCCCUUGACUUUGGGAUAACUUCAGGAAACUGGGGCUAAUACCGGAUAGGAGCUCCUGCUGCAUGGUGGGGGUUGGAAAGUUUCGGCGGUUGGGGAUGGACUCGCGGCUUAUCAGCUUGUUGGUGGGGUAGUGGCUUACCAAGGCUUUGACGGGUAGCCGGCCUGAGAGGGUGACCGGCCACAUUGGGACUGAGAUACGGCCCAGACUCCUACGGUAGGCAGCAGUGGGGAAUAUUGCACAAUGGGCGGAAGCCUGAUGCAGCAACGCCGCGUGCGGGAUGACGGCCUUCGGGUUGUGAACCGCUUUCGCCUGUGACGAAGCGUGAGUGACGGUAAUGGGUAAAGAAGCACCGGCUAACUACGUG
rnacentral:rRNA from 1 species